CCCUAAAUCGGUCGCUCAAUCACCAGAAGCCCCAAUAAUGUUUAAUCACCUGCGUUUUCUUCAAUUGUGAUCAUCACCAUCGCUCGUCUAUCAUCGAAUCUUAUUGAUCUUCUUUUCUCUUCUCUGAAUUGAUUGCUCGAACAACAGUGAAGCAUGCAUGAGGUGGGGGUCUAAAUGAGUGUUUAAACAGCUUGGUGAUGUGACCAAUGGAGAUGAUAAAAGAUUGGAUACGAUUAGGUUAUGGGUGUCAAUAUGUGAUGGGUUUUAGGGUCUUAUGUCUAGUUAGGUAUUACUAAUUUAUCAUUAUUAGGUAGCCUAAUUACUUGUUAUUUAGAUGUUAGUGCCACAUUUUACUUUACAAGGAAGAAUAUUCUUUGCUUGGGAAUUGCUUUUGGGAAUAUAUACUCUGUUAAACU